rfam:Firmicutes bacterium CAG:114 genomic scaffold, scf269
AUGAUGAAACCGGGAGAUGCCGUGCAAGCGGAGCCGAAGGGGCAGCGGAAACUCUCAGGCAAAAGGACCGGUUUUUGACG